rnacentral:rRNA from 1 species
UACAGAGGUCUCAAGCGUUGUUCGGCUUCAUUGGGCGUAAAGGGUGCGUAGGCGGCGCGGUAAGUCGGGUGUGAAAUUUCGAGGCUUAACUUCGAAACUGCAUUCGAUACUGCCGUGCUAGAGGACUGGAGAGGAGACUGGAAUUUACGGUGUAGCGGUGAAAUGCGUAGAUAUCGUAAGGAAGACCAGUGGCGAAGGCGGGUCCCUGGACAGUUCCUGACGCUGAGGCACGAAGGCCAGGGGAGCAAACGGG